rnacentral:rRNA from 1 species
UACAGAGGGUGCAAGCGUUUGUUCGGAAUUAUUGGGCGUAAAGCGCGUGUAGGCGGCGUGACAAGUCGGGUGUGAAAGCCCUCAGCUCAACUGAGGAAGUGCGCCCGAAACUGUCCGUGCUUGAGUGCCGGAGAGGGUGGCGGAAUUCCCCAAGUAGAGGUGAAAUUCGUAGAUAUUGGGAAGAACACCGGGUGGCGAAGGCGGCCAAUCUGGACC